rnacentral:rRNA from 1 species
GUCUGGUUGAAUUUUAAAAUCAGUCUAGCCUGCCCACUGAGUAUUUUAAAGGCCGCGGUAUCAUGACCGUGCGAAGGUAGCAUAAUAAUUAGUCUCUUGAUUGGAGACCGGAAUGAAAGGUUGGACAAAAAGUCAACUUUCCCAUAAUUAACUAUUUAACUUAACUUUUAAGUGAAAAGGCUUAAAUAAUCUUAAAAGACGACAAGACCCUAUAAAACUUUAUAUAUAAAAUACUAUUUUUGAUUUGUUUAAGUCAAUCUUUAAAUUUUAGUUUAUUAUAUUACGUUGGGGCGACGAAAGUAUAUAUUCACCUGCUUUUUAUUCUAUACAAUUAUUUUUGUUUUAUAUGACCCUUUUUUAAGAUCAAAAGAAAAAGUUACUUUAGGGAUAACAGCGUAAUUUUAUUUGAGAGUUCUUAUCGACAAUAAAGUUUGCGACCUCGAUGUUGAAUUAAAUCAUCAUUACAAUGUAGAAGUUGUAAAGGUGGGUCUGUUCGACCUUUAAAAUUUUACAUGAUUUGAGUUCAAACCGGUGUGAG